CCUGGCAAGGUGCAGCUCCCAAUAGGAGGAGAGCAUAGCUCGAGAUUUUCCUGUGGCUUUAAUUGCCUGUGAAAUAUUCCAAACACAUUGUAUUGGCCGAUAAGUUGAACUGACUGCCUUUCGUCCCAGGGAAAGGGACUGAGGACUUCUUCAUGAGCUUGACGCGGAGAUAAAGCUAGAUGGAAGGCUUUCCUUGGUGGAUAUAUGCAGUACACAGAGCAUCUAUGUGCAUCAUGGAGUCCUCAGACAACACACCCAGCAUACAUGAUCACUGAAGCCAGAGAGGCCUCUCUGCUUCAUCACAAUGCAUCAUAUCGGAUCCGGCAAGCAACAAGCUUCUCUGAGAUCAACUGCAGAAGUACAGGAAAUGCGGCUGAGGAGACAGCACAGGAGGUCGUUUGUUUGCCUUGCAAGAAUGAGGACCUGAAUUCAAUUCCUAAAAUAAAAGAACUAGAUGUGGUGGUACACAUGUAUACUCUCAGACAUAAGAUACCUUUUCUGCAAAAAUUAAUAAAUAAAUGGUGGGUGGUGCCCGAAAUUGUCCUCUGGCAUUUACAUGGAUGCACACACACACAUGAAUUUGCACCUCCCCUGUGAAAAUGCACAUAUACUAACACAUGCACACAAAAUGUCCAGUAAAGAAAAACUUACGACAAGAAGGCAGGUAGGGUGAGAGUCAGGCAGGGUGUGAGAGCCCUAUUCCACAGCACCCUAUGGAACACAGGUACAGAUCUCACCUCCAGGCACCAGUUUUAGAAGACACUCGCAUUGCCAUGGUAGAGACAGCUUUGUGUUCAGGAGAAGGCGAAGCACAGACAGAGGAGGCAUGCCCCCAAACCAUCCCAUCCUGAGAUAAUUUUACACAGCUAAUAUUUUUAUAGCAAAAAAUGGAUUUUAUUAUUAUCUAUGAACUCAUACUCCUUACAACCUAUAAAACCUUGUGAAACUAUCAAAGCUUGUUUCUAAACUUGCAACACUCCACAACCCUGAAAAGACACGGCAAUAGUACGCGUCAUUCCUGGUAUUUAUUCUCCAUCCUACACUCUGGGAAACAAACCUCUGCUACUAUGAGCUUACUCUAUGACAUGCAUUUCCCUGGGCAGUCAGCAUGUCACUUGAGUUUCAAGCUGAAGUUGGACAUUUAAAGCUCCCUGGAGACAGUCUGAAUAACUUCUCCAAGUGCUUUUUGGACAUGAA